CUAAGGAAUUCUACUUCUAAGAACCUGAAGAAACAAUGAAGUACAGUACACAAAGGACUGCUGCACCAAUCAAAUUACAGAUUCUGACCAGAUUGUUAAAGAUUUUGAACAUGUAUCAAUAUGCAGAAUUUUCUCUAAAGGCAAAGAAGAAUGCUUGACUAUUUGGGCAGAAAUCUAUACGAUGAAAUCUAUAUUUUAGAAGCAUUAACACCAUAUUACUGGAUGGACUGACAAGAAAGAGGUCAAGGGCAGAACAGGCUACUAGGACAAGCCAGAAAUAAAGUCAUAGGGUCAAAUCAGAAAAAAAA